GGGAAGUCAAGCCUCUCUACUGCUUCUUUUUAUAACCUUUAAGUUAAUUCAGAACCCAGAUAAGCCUUGAUCUGAGGAUGAUAUAACCACCGCAAGCAACAUGGGAACUUCUAGAGAAAACAAGAAGAAGACUUCAAAAAACAUGCUGUGAUGUCUCCCAGUGGAGACAGGGCACGAGGUGCAGGAAAGAGGAGGUGGCCUGAGCCAGGACGAUGAGGAUGCAAUGUUGAAGAAUAAGCUGGAGAAGAGAAGUAACCGGCACUAUGGAAAAAACCAAAACAAAGCAAGGAGAGAAUGAACAUAUGCCGGUGAAUAAUCCUUCCACGCAGAUUUACCAGUUGCAGGCCCUAGCCUCCGAACUCAAAACUGGUUUCACAGAAGCAAUGCAAGAACUGUCAAGAAUUCAACAUGGAGAAUAUGCUUUGGAAGAAAAGGUUAAGAGCUGCAGAUGUUCCAUGGAAGAAAAAGUUACUGAGAUGAAGAAUUCAUUAAACUAUUUCAAGGUA
rnacentral:lncRNA from 1 species